rnacentral:rRNA from 1 species
CCUACGGGGGGCAGCAGUGAGGAAUAUUGGUCAAUGGGCGGAAGCCUGAACCAGCCACGUCGCGUGAGGGAAGACGGUCCUAUGGAUUGUAAACCUCUUUAGGCGGGGAGCAAAGCCGGGCACGCGUGCCCGGAGGGAGAGUACCCGCAGAAUAAGCCUCGGCUAACUCCGUGCCAGCAGCCGCGGUCAUACGGGGGAUGCGGGCGUUAUCCGGAUUUAUUGGGUUUAACGGGUGCGUAGGCGGAGUGUUAAGUCAGUGGGCAAAUGUCCGGGCUCAACCCGGGCCGGCCGUUGAAACUGGGGAUCUUGAGUGGGCGAGAAGUAUGCGGAAUGCGUGGUGUAGCGGUGAAAUGCAUAGAUAUCACGCAGAACUCCGAGUGCGAAGGCAGCAUACCGGCGCGCGACUGACGCUGAGGCACGAAAGCGUGGGGAUCGAACAGGAUUAGAUACCCCUGUAGUC